CGCUUUCAAAGUACAAAGCGAAUUGCGCAUAUCAACAGCGAGUGCAUAGAUAGACGCUUGUUGAUUGUGAGGUGACAAUAAUUUUGUAUAGUUUUGUCGAAUUUUGAAAUUCCGAUAUAAAUAAGGAAUCAAUAAACAGGCGGUGAUGGCGUGCCGGUACAGCCGAAAGAAGCUUUGCUAUAGAAAAUGAGUCAAUGGUAGUAGCAUGCUGUCUCCUGCUACAAGGAAAGUUCCUGAAAAGCAGGCAUUCCGUAAUGACCAAUAUGAAACUAAGGGUACAGCUUGCAGCGGUAUCCUCGUAGCAGAUAGAUGCGAGCUGCUGAAGCACAAUAAAAGAAUGACCCAUUUAGUAAAUGUAUGGGCAAGAAGUCUGAAAGAGGUAAGGCAUGGAGCAGAAGGUUCAACAACCUGCUCUUUGGAGAACAAAGUAAAGAAAGCGGAAUUGAGAAUUUCCACGAACGUUGUUGAGCACAGCGGAAGUUUCUAUUUAUUCGGACAUUUUUCCAGUCCAUAUUCAACAUUUGGAAAUCAACGAUAGUGUAAAAUAUUUGGCUCGAAAGAAACAAAAUGUUAUUAACAAAUGCAUGGGUUUAGAAAUACCGGAAACAUUACGAAACAUAACUUUCUCUGCAUUGAUAGAUGAAAGGGACACGUCAGAGGUCAAAAGUAAAAAAAGGCUAUGUCGAAAAACUUGUACAAAUGUUUUCUACGCUCUUUAAUAAUAAACUAUUGAUUUAAUUGCUAAAGAAAAAUACUAAAUUCAAACGCCAGUUUUACAGCGACCACUCCUAACAACAUCCUCGUACAUAUACUACAAUGUAUGAUAAUAACGUAUAAUAUAUAGUAUAAUGUAUAGUAAUCAGAUAAUGCUAUGCCAUUCUUACGGCAUUGGAAGCCGUUAAAAACGAUCGGUAUAAAACAGCUGUAGUAUUUAGCAGCUCAGUAGCAACGAUACUCGUAACAAUUAUCUGGCAACAAUUUUGUUGUAAGAGACGUACUCGAAUUAUACACAGAUCUAUCAGCAGCAAAUUACUAUAGCAUGAAUUCCAGUCCAUCAAGGAGUAUCGAGUAACGAAGCUGCAGACAACGUAGCCAAAGAAGCGAUAAAUAUCCAACCAUCGACCACACACGCGUCAAACAACCGUGGAAUCACAAGUGGAACGUUGAAAAAUCAAUUAGAUCGAGCAACAGCUCAAACAAUUUUCUUCGUGACGUGAUAGGAAGAUCCUUCAAUGGCAGAAACCGAGUCAUUCUAAACAGGAUCCACAUUGGCCAUGUUGAGGUUGAGGUUGACUGAUUGAAGAACGAGUAGAUGAAUUUGUAAUAGAAAAGUAUAUUGAAAUAAUUAAAGGUAUAAGUAUAAGUUUAUGCUGAUUCAGAUCCUUACUCUCCUAGUGUUACAAUACAAUGGAAUCGAUAAGGAGCACGUUCAUAUAUUUAGAGGUUACAAGGAACAUAAAUAGACAUCUUUUUAUCAGUUCCUUUGUUCCUAGACCUUGCAACCGAAAACAUAAUGUACAUUCAAGGGUACAACAAUAUGCACCUCUCCUUAUUUAGAAUAUUUCUGCGUAAUAGCAGUCUCCGGGUCACGGAUAUACAUAAAUAAAGAUGUAGAGUUUUCCUUGAAGUAGUUAGUUUAACAGGCCACGCCAGACGUUCUCACAAAUUGCUCCUCACCUGAAAGGGAAUACGUUUACCUCGCUGAAACACAUGUCAAUGUUCUUCGACUUUUAAAUACAUAUCGAUGUUUCAUAAGAAAACCGAAACCUUACGAAAUCAGGCUAAACUUCUGCAAUCAGUAAAGGAAUGUUUUGUACGAAGAAUGUUAAGAACCUUCUGAAAUUUAUCCAAAGCAAUAAAUAGGUUCUACGAUUUUAUCCAAGUACUACCAAUCGGCAGAUCGAUAAUGGCCCAAAUGUCGGUGGGACGUUAAUCUUUGAGAUAAAAAAAGGCAUACUAAAUUGGAGUGGAUGGAGAAAGAAGAACGAGCCCUUGACAAAUCGCCUUAACAAUAGAACCUACAACUGGCAAUAGGAUUAUCAUUAUGGUCCUGUCGCAUCAUCGAUCACUGAUCGAACGACUCUGUCGGUGAUCGUUAGCGGAAUUCGUUUUGGCCUAGAGCUGUUACAAAAUUGUAAUAAAAACUUAUAAUUAUCCAUUUUCCCCAUCUCUCUUGUAUCUGGCGUAACUGGCUAUUUUAUGAAUCUUUCGACCUCGGUGAGAGAACGCGGUGGAUGACUAAUUACAUUCACCGUGUUACCGUGAUAAAUAGUUUUGCGGAAUUAAUGCGAUAACCAAAGUACUGUCAAAUUAUUUCCAAACAAUAGCGAAAAGAUAACGCCGGUUUGGUUGCAAUCGUAUCAUUGGUAUGCAGACGCAGAAUUCAUGCGGCGCACCGUGUUGAAAAUGAACUGAAUAUACCGGAUUCUGAAAUUUUCGUAAUAGAAUCCGUAUAAAGGAUGAAACUCACACGGGAGUUGAUGGUGUCGGACGCGUAAUUAUUUAGGCGUUAAUUGAAAGUGGAAAUUAUAACACGAUUUACUUGUGCGCUUUUAUUAAAUCCAAUAAUAUUGUAUGUACGUAAUGUUUUAAGCGAGUGGUAUCUCAUUUUCAAAUAUGAAGCGUAAUUCUUUAUCGAAUAAGACUCAUCUGUAUCUUUAAUACAAUUUGUAAAACGUUAAUUUCUACUUUCAUUCGCUGUUAUAACGAAUAAUCUUUAUACUGAAUCUAUUUCUCUAUAAAUAUAUUAUCAAGCGUUGCAUAUUAUAUUUACAUGAAUUAUCAUGGAAGACGCUUUUAGAAUUUUCUUUUAGAUUUAUAAAUUAUGUCUCGCGCUUAAAUCAGUAUCAUCCAUACGUCGUACGGAUAUUUUAAAAGUUUGCACUGAAGGGCCAACGCGGGCUUGAGACGUACGCAGCGAACCUGUUAAGACAAAAGGAUUCUACGAUUUCAUCUUAUCGUCAAAUCAUUUAUGUAUUUCCUAUAGAAAUUGGAUUUUGGAUUGAAGCACAUAAGUGCAUAACAGCUUCGAAAUGGCUCUACGUUUCAUCGAUAAUAUCAAUUAUUUGUAACAGACACACACA